rnacentral:rRNA from 1 species
UACGGGAGGCAGCAGUGGGGAAUAUUGCACAAUGGGCGCAAGCCUGAUGCAGCCAUGCCGCGUGUAUGAAGAAGGCCUUCGGGUUGUAAAGUACUUUCAGUCAUGAGGAAGGUGUUAAGGUUAAUAACCUUAGCAAUUGACGUUAGCGACAGAAGAAGCACCGGCUAACUCCGUGCCAGCAGCCGCGGUAAUACGGAGGGUGCGAGCGUUAAUCGGAAUUACUGGGCGUAAAGGGCACGCAGGCGGUUAAUUAAGUUGGAUGUGAAAUCCCCGGGCUUAACCUGGGAAUGGCAUUCAAGACUGGUUAGCUAGAGUCUUGUAGAGGGGGUAGAAUUCCAUGUGUAGCGGUGAAAUGCGUAGAGAUGUGGAGGAAUACCGGUGGCGAAGGCGGCCCCUGGGACAAAGACUGACGCUCAUGUGCGAAAGCGUGGGGAGCAAACAGGAUUAGAUACC